GAUGAACGCUGGCGGCGUGCUUAACACAUGCAAGUCGAACGGUAAGGCCCUUCGGGGUACACGAGUGGCGAACGGGUGAGUAACACGUGGGUGAUCUGCCCUGCACUUCGGGAUAAGCCUGGGAAACUGGGUCUAAUACCGGAUAGGACCACUGCCUGCAUGGGUGGUGGUGGGAAGCUUUUGCGGUGUGGGAUAGGGCCGCGGCCUAUCAGCCUGGUGGUGGGGUGAUGGCCUAGCAAGGCGACGGCGGGUAGCCGGCCUGAGAGGGGGACCGGCCACACUGGGACGGAGAUACGGCCCAGACUCCUACGGUAGGGAAGAGAGGGGAAUGUUGCACAAUGGGAGCAAGCCUGAUGCAGCCACGCCGCGUGGGGGAUGACGGCCUUCGGGUUGUAAACCUCUUUCAGCACCGACGAAGCGCAAGUGACGGUAGGUGCAGAAGAAGGACCGGCCAACUACGUGCCAGCCGCCGCAGUAA
rnacentral:rRNA from 1 species